CUUACUGUUUUGAGGACACUGAAACUUGUAGUAACUGCUCACACAUUUCACUCUAUAUUCAUGUAUCUUACAUACAGACAUGAAUACACUAAUGUAGAAAAACACAGUGGCCAGGCUAGUGUAGCUAAUCUUCUUAGUAAUCACAAGGUUUGACUGUUGAAACAGAACAAAGUUCACAUUGUCAACAACAACAGAGGUGGGACUUCUACCAAUGAGAGAGAGACGGUGAGAAAAAGAAACCAGAAAGAGAGAUAAAAAAGAAAGACGGACACAAAAGAAGAGAGAGAGAUCAUUAAGAGAAUCACGACUUUUACCUCUGGACUGAGCCAACCAUCUUUUCUCACUGAGGAGCUGUUCUUUGGAAUAUUUCACUACCUGCUGCACUGAAACAUGGUGUGACACUGAAUGAAUUCUACAAGUUCCUUUUAAGUCCAUUAGUUAUGUGACUGCCAUCGCCAGAGCGUCACCUUUGACCUUCACUUCAAUGCUGGCUACUGGAGACAAUUUAACAUCUGGAAGUACAACUGUUGGGACAACUAUGCAGAAGCUCACCGAGGAUAUCUAACAGCCAUCUGCAAGUCAUUUAAAUUUACAUUUAAGGAAUCCCAAAAACUAAACCUUGAUGUCUUUGACCUGAAAAUCACCUUAUCUGACCAUGUGUCAGAUAUCUCUCCUACUACCACAUGUACCCUGACCUCUCCUCUUCUCUGACUGUUGGACUGGAGCAGCAUGGAGGUGUUGAGCGGCCCCUGGGCUGACGUGGCUCUGCUCCUGCGACAGACCAUCACACAGACAGAUGGAGAGACAGGCAGCUUUCUUCUUCUCUGGCUCUUGGGCCUCCUGCUGUUUCUGUCUGUCUGUCUGCUGCUGCUGCAACUGAUUAUCUACCUCAGCUGGAAACUCAGACAGGUUGAGGCUGAUCUGUCCGGGUUUCAGCAGGACAGAAGCGCCAUCCACAGGCAGAUGUACAGAAGCACACACCUGAGGAGGAGGAGCGUUGGGUCGCAUUCACACACCUGACCGGACACACGCUUCUUCAACAUUACGUUUUAGCAUAAAAACUCUAAACUCUGUCCUGACUGUUUCAUUCAGUCCUGCCAGUUAGUGUAGGUUCAGCCUGUCUCUACAGAGCAAUGAGGCUGAUACGAAGACUGACAAAUACAUGGGAGAGACAUUUGUCGUGAUCAAACCACCUUAAAAGGAUGAAAUUUGAAGCCUGUGUAGAAAACUAUUUGCUGUUAUACAUCUGUGAAAUCACUGUACCUCUUGCAACAGUCUGGAAACAUCUAAACCUUUUCUGACAAAUGUAACUGUAGGAAAUGCUGCCAUCAAAGCACAGGUCAACUCAUGUACGUUAACAUACAAGACUUGGUAGUUUUGAAUCACGUGAACUUAUUGAAAUGAAUGAAGGAAUGAACUGACCAAACUGAUUUCAGAGUAACAAUCCUUUAUUUAAACAGUGUUACACAGGGGAGGAGUGACUGUGUGUUGGGGGAGACACAAGACAAUUAAGCUGCUAGAUAGAAAAACCCUACUGGUGAUCAUUGGUUGGCUACGAGGGAGCAAUGAGGCCGCUGGUUGGUUUUCCAAAACUUGUUUCUUUAUAAAGUUUUGUUGAAAGUGAGGUUUUUUUUAAUGUGAUUAAAAUACAAAAUGAUGCUGGUUUCUGUCUUAUCUGUCCAAACUGUAGUACAGAGCCUGAGAUUUAAAUAUUAUGAGAUUAUACGCCAAUGAUAAAACAUCAGCCCCCACAUACAGGAAGUCAUGACAUUGUGUGAAUCGGAUGAAUGUAACGAUGCCCUCCAUAAUGUUGAGAUCCCUGACAGUUUUAAAAUCAGCUGGCCUAGAAUCAUCUUUUUCUUAUCCACGAGUGCCCUUUAUGGACUGUAUAUAAAGACCUUAUGGAGUUUCCGUGGUAACAGCGUAAAACUUCCAAAAGUCAACCCCAACUCCAUCUUUGUUGUUUUUUUUUAAAUUUAUCUUAAUAAAAGUUACUGUUGGAAAGACA